rnacentral:rRNA from 1 species
GACGAACGCUGGCGGCGUGCUUAACACAUGCAAGUCGAGCGGUAAGGCUCCUUCGGGAGUACACGAGCGGCGAACGGGUGAGUAACACGUGAGCAAUCUGCCCUUCACACGGGGAUAACUCCGGGAAACCGAAGCUAAUACCCGAUACGACCACUUCAGGCAUCUGAUGGUGGUGGAAAGUUCCGGCGGUGAAGGAUGAGCUCGCGGCCUAUCAGCUUGUUGGUGGGGUAAUGGCCCACCAAGGCAACGACGGGUAGCCGGCCUGAGAGGGUGACCGGCCACACUGGGACUGAGACACGGCCCAGACUCCUACGGGAGGCAGCAGUGGGGAAUAUUGGACAAUGGGCGAAAGCCUGAUCCAGCAACGCCGCGUGAGGGAUGACGGCCUUCGGGUUGUAACCCUCUUUCAGUGCCGACGAAGCGCAAGUGACGGUAGGUACAGAAGAAGCACCGGCCAACUACGUGCCAGCAGCCGCGGUAACAC